AGCGGCCGCGGCCUCCCCGACCCUCCCGGCCCUGGCGAUGUGCCGGCCGCUGGAAACACGAGAAAGGCCCCGCUAGAAGCACGGGCAGAGCUCUCCCCUGUGCCUGCAGGAGCCCAGGGCAACAGCGCCCCGGCUGGGAGGGCAGCAUUAGCCCCGCACGGUGCCCCGCGCCCGGCAAACCUUCAACUGAUGAGUGAGAAAAACAGACCUUCUUCCCUGCUUCUUCUACUGUAGUUGAAAACAGCUCAGAAAUGCAGCCAGGGAGCCCCUCUGAGUGACCAAGAAAAAGAACAACUAGAGUCAGUCACCCUGCAGAGCUGAGCAAUUUCUUCUGCUUUCAAAGCUUAUGAGACACAAGCAAGGGCUCUGUGAAGAAACACUGCAGAAUCCCUUUGGAUUGUGCCAAGAUGUUUCCACUUGUUGGGGAAUAUAUUUGGUAUUGUCAGCUUGGUGUGCAGCUGAAGGGCAAAUGACUGCACACUCAGAGAGACAGCAGGAGCUGAUGAUGCCAGGCUUUGGCAUGCUGAGGCUGUGAGGGUAUAAAAGCCGAGGGUUUCCUUUUUUUUGGGUCCCUCCUUGGAGACACACAGCUCAAGUUGUUAUUUUGU